rnacentral:rRNA from 1 species
GAGACAUGCAAGUCGUGGGAGAAAGUCGGGGCAACUCGGCGAGUAAACCGGCGCACGGGUGAGUAACACGUGGAUAACCUGCCUUGGAGUCCGGGAUAACCCGUCGAAAGACGGGCUAAUACCAGAUAAGACCACGAGGAGUUCGCUUCUUGAGGUAAAAGAUGGCCUCUGCUCCUGCAAGCUAUUACUCCGAGAGGGGUCCGCGCCCUAUCAGCUAGUUGGUGAGGUAAUGGCUCACCAAGGCUGAGACGGGUAGCUGGUCUGAGAGGAUGGUCAGCCACACUGGGACUGAGACACGGCCCAGAGUCCUACGGGAUGCAGCAGUCAGGAAUAUUGCGCAAUGGAGGAAACUCUGACGCAGCGACGCCGCGUGGGUGAUGAAGGCCUUCGGGUCGUAAAGCCCUGUCGGAGGGGAAGAAAAGCCUGCUGGCUAAUAUCCAGCGGGCCUUUGACGGUACCCUCAAAGGAAGCACCGGCUAACUCCGUGCCAGCAGCCGCGGUAA